rnacentral:rRNA from 1 species
UGGUGGAGUGAUUUGUCUGGUUAAUUCCGUUAACGAGCGAGACCUUAACCUGCUAAAUAGUUACGCGUAGCUUCGGUUACGUGGGCAACUUCUUAGAGGGACUUUGCGUGUCUAACGCAAGGAAGUUUGAGGCAAUAACA